rnacentral:misc_RNA from 1 species
GCAUUCUCAUACGCCUUUUCUCUCCCUUCUUUGGAGUCACAAACAUGGUCCAAAACGCCCAAAGCCUUUUCACAUAUGCUUUUAUCUCCAUCAACAAGAACCUCUAUAAUCAGAGAGACCAAACCCAGUUCCACAAAUAUUGAUGCAAUCUUGUGGCUGAUUGCUGAAGGAGAUAUCAUGUAGAAUAUAACCAUUAAUGAAGCCUUCGAGGAAGCUGGGCAAAUUGGCUCCUUGAUUAACUCGACUAGUGCUUGAAUAACUCCUUCUAUCUCCACCAAGGUAUUUACAUGCUUUUGAUCUAAAGAAAGAAGCUCUUUAAGUACCAAAACUGCACUUUGUCUAGCUGAAAGGUCUCCGUUACUCUUCAAAAGCCAUAACAUGCAACGUAAAGAAAUCACUGAUCCUAGCUUGGUUUGGCCUUCUCCACCAAGCGGAAACAU